AGAAUUUUUCUCAAUGGGCGCAAGCCUGAAGGAGCGACGCCGCGUGUGGGAUGAAGGGUUUCGAUCCGUAAACCACUGUCAUUCGUGAACAAUGCUCACUGUUUAAGAGAUGGUGAGUUGAUAGUAACGGAAGAGGAAGGGACGGCUAACUCUGUGCCAGCAGCCGCGGUAAUACAGAGGUCCCGAGCGUUGUUCGGAUUCACUGGGCGUAAAGGGUGCGUAGGUGGCAUGGCAAGUUUGAUGUGAAAGCUCAGGGCUUAACCCUGAAAUGGCAUUGAAUACUGCUGUGCUGGAGGUUUGGAGGGGGGACUGGAAUUCUCGGUGUAGCAGUGAAAUGCGUAGAUAUCGAGAGGAACACCAGUGGCGAAGGCGAGUCCCUGGACAACACCUGACACUGAGGCACGAAAGCCGGGGGAGCAAAC
rnacentral:rRNA from 1 species